UGGGGAAUAUUGGACAAUGGGGGGAACCCUGAUCCAGCCAUGCCGCGUGUGUGAAGAAGGCCUUAUGGUUGUAAAGCACUUUAAGCGAGGAGGAGGGUACUGGUAUUAAUACUACCAGCUACUGGACGUUACUCGCAGAAUAAGCACCGGCUAACUCUGUGCCAGCAGCCGCGGUAAUACAGAGGGUGCGAGCGUUAAUCGGAUUUACUGGGCGUAAAGCGUGCGUAGGCGGCUAAUUGAGUCGGAUGUGAAAUCCCCGAGCUUAACUUGGGAAAUGAAUUCGAUACUGGUUAGCUAGAGUGUGGGAGAGGAUGGUAGAAUUCCAGGUGUAGCGGUGAAAUGCGUAGAGAUCUGGAGGAAUACCGAUGGCGAAGGCAGCCAUCUGGCCUAACACUGACGCUGAGGUACGAAAGCAUGGGGAGCAAACAGG
rnacentral:rRNA from 1 species